GGAAGUAGAAGUCGUAACAAGGUUUCCGUAGGUGAACCUGCGGAAGGAUCAUUAUUGUAUAACCGAGGUGCGAGGGCUGUCGCUGACCCGAAAGGUCGUGCACGCCCGAGUGCCCUCACACACAUACAUCUCACCCCUAUGUGCACCACCGCGUGGGUCCCCCUUUGGCUUGUUCGGAGGGGGGCUUACGUUUUCACACAAACUUUGUAUGCAGUGUAGAAUGUAUUUUUUGUUUUUGCGAUCACGCAAUCAAUACAACUUUCAACAACGGAUCUCUUGGCUCUC
rnacentral:misc_RNA from 1 species